AUGACCUGCCUGAGCUGUUUUGGCUCAGUGUGGAGCCUGCUUGGGAUUCUCUCUCUCCCUCUCUCUCUCCGCCCCUCCCCGUUCACACGCUCUCACUCUUCCUCUCAAAAUAAAUAAAUAAACAUUUAGAAAGUAUCAGUAAUACAAAACAAAUUCAAAUAAACUAUACUAGAUAAAACACUGUUUUUCUUUUAUUCACUCUAUAGGAAAAGAAUAAAAUUUUACUCAUACCAAGAUACAGAGAGCUUAUAGAUAUUUACAAAGUAUAAAGGUAUGUCAGAAUUCAUCUGGAACAACAAAGAAAUGAUUUCAAGUCUCUUGGUGCCAAAGCUAAUGCUUAAUUCAUUAUUCCUCAUUGGCUACAUACAGGAGAAGACAGGCUCACUGCCAACACCAUGACAGAUAAUAAACCAAAUAUAAG